rnacentral:rRNA from 1 species
AUGUUUUUGCUUCACGAAUAUGAUAUUUUUUGGACAUUUCUAAUAAUAGCAAGCCUUAUUCCUAUUUUGGCAUUUUUGAUUUCAGGACUUUUAGCCCCGGUUAGUGAAGGACCAGAGAAGCUUUCUAGUUAUGAAUCGGGUAUAGAACCCAUGGGAGGGGCUUGGGUACAAUUCCGAAUAUGCUAUUAUAUGUUUGCGCUCGUUUUUGUUGUUUUUGAUGUGGAAACCGUCUUUCUAUACCCUUGA